UACGGGGGGGGCAAGCGUUGUUCGGAAUUACUGGGCGUAAAGGGCUCGUAGGCGGCCAACUAAGUCGGACGUGAAAUCCCUAGGCUCAACCUGGGAACUGCGUCCGAUACUGGAUGGCUUGAAUCCGGGAGAGGGAUGCAGAAUUCCAGGUGUAGCGGUGAAAUGCGUAGAUAUCUGGAGGAAUACCGGUGGCGAAGGCGGCAUCCUGGACCGGCAUUGACGCUGAGGAGCGAAAGCCAGGGGAGCAAACGGG
rnacentral:rRNA from 1 species